rnacentral:rRNA from 1 species
GGAGAGUGGGGGGCGGCUGGGGGGGUAAUGCUGAGGGGUCAAGAGGUACUCGGAAUUACUGGGGGUAAGGCGUGCGUAGGGGGGGGUUUAAGGCUGCUGUGAAAGGCAUGGGCUCAACCUGGGAAUGGGAGUGGAUACUGGAUCACUAGAGGGGGGUAGAGGGAUGCGGAAGUUCUGGUGUAGCAGUGAAAUGCGUAGAGAUCAGAAGGAACAGCUGUGGCGAAGGCGGCAUCCUGGGCCAACACUGACACUGAGGCACGAAAGCGUGGGGAGCAAACAGGAUUAGAUACCCUGGUAGUC